AAGAAUUAAGAAAAAACGCUUUCUUCAGAACCACCACAGGUUCCAGCUCGGAAGGUUAAACAUUCGGAUCUGGAUUUCGGUUUCUCUUGAAUAGACUUAUUUGUACUCGUUCUGGUCUUCAUCAUCCAUCAUCUUCAUCUGAUAACAAACAACGUGUUAUCCGAUGUAAACAGCUUCAAUAGAAUCAUAAAAAAGUGGAAGGAAAAGUUUUUAUCGCGGUCUGCAUGUAAUAUUUAAUUAACAGUUUUGCUUGAAAUUACAGUAAGGUUUGUACGUACACACAGUGCCGCUUUCCUAUGUGGCUAUAGGUAGUAGUGGCGGAAUGCAUGACUGCGGGUUUCAAUCCGUCGCUUCCGAAAUAUCGAAUCUCAUAGAGCAAUAGGAUUUAGCCUGAGCUACAGUACGGUCCAGAGACGUUGCAGGCAGAGGCGGAUGUGUUGGAUUGAAAACAGUAGCCGGGAUUGAUGGCAGUGGCUGUCAUAGUUCAAAUAGUGCCACGGUAAUUUGUGUAUUCAAACAAUCAAUUUUGCUGCCAAUCGACAAAAAUAUAAAGAGUGGAUUGACAGCGCUGAAUGCAAAAAUUGAUCUCAACGGUGAGGUGCUUCAGUCCUCGGAACCGAAGAACUUGUUCUGCGAGCUGCGAUUAUCUCCAGUGGAAUCCAGACUGUGUAAGCACUGGUUAAUGUUUUGUGAAACCCUGCGUACCUGCGGAGUUAUGGUCAAAACCACCGUCACGGCGCCACCGCCCACCGAGCUGGUUCCACAGUGCAUGCCCAGCAUGUCCCGAUACGCUUGCCACCGAUUGACUGCAUCGAUGAAACAACCACCCUGAACGACCAAUCUAACGAAGACCUAGUCUCUAAAAACUUUUUCCUGGAGAAAAGAAAGGUCCAUCAAAAAUUGAGUGUGGUUACACUAUUUACAGAGCAUAAGCGCCAGAAAAAACCGAAAUUUUAAGUUCUGACAGGAGCGUCUGCUUCUAAAUGUUUCACAUUGCUCGAAAGUUGUCAGCGUGCUAAAGGCUUGCCUUGAUAAAAGACGCGAAGGAAAACCUUGCUAAAAGCUACUUAGUACGACAUCUUUCCGAAGCAACUCCUUUACCGGAAAUGCCGUCUAAAAAUUGAACUAGUCAGAUGCAAUUAAGUCACCAUCUAACCUGCUAUUCUGUUUUUUCGAACAUCCCAAAGAUGCGAGUAAAAACAACAUAAUAUGCAACGAUGGAAUAGAAGGGUCACAUGAAAAAUUUCAAUGAGGUGUUUGUAAAUUUUAUAUUUAUAAAUUUUUGAAUGUUUCAUCAGCAAUGUUGAAGAUUAAUUUGUUUUCAUCAACGAGCAAUUGCAAUUUUUCAUUUCAUUGUUGAAUUCAGGAUAAAUUUAAGAUAUCAGGAUGUUUAAUUUAUGCUUCGAAGAUAAUUUAGUAAUUUAGUCUGUUAAUUUGUCACAGAACAAAAAUCGUAUUUUUAAUUCCUCAAUCAAAAUCAGCUGACGAAGUAAUAUCCCAUAAUCAUUUCCACAUAAAUAAGUUUGAAUCAGAGUUGAACAGGAAAAAUAGUAGCAGAAAUCAGUUUUUUCGAGAAUAAAAUAUGAUAUAAUUCAAAAUGCCAAACCAAAAUAACAAAAUCUAUUUUAAGAAGAUUUCAGAACCAAAUGUUUGUUUAUUCAAAGUGAAAAUUUGAAUUCGAUGUAUCUUUUUUUUGACUGGAAUCAAAAAAUGGUUUUAUGGUUUAGUACUCUGUAAAUGUUUUUGGAAAUUGUUAGAUAAAAAAAUGUACUAUAGGAAGUACAGUUUUAAUUGUUAAACUUAAUUAAAAGAUUAUGUAAAGCAUUAGGGAAUGUUGCUGAACGUAUAGAUCGGCUUCGAAAGCUCGUUUGCAUCUCACGAAGCCUAGAAAUGUUAGUCAAAUCUUAAUUUAUUUACUAGUGUUAAAACUACAGGAAAAAUUAAUGUAACAACUUAUUAAACGACUUUUGUAAUAAACUC